rnacentral:rRNA from 1 species
AACGUACGCUGGCGGCACGCCUAACACAUGCAAGUCGAACGAAGUAGCAAUACUUAGUGGCAGACGGGUGAGUAACAUGUAGGUAUCUGCCCUUUGGCCUGGAAUAACACGAGGAAACUUGUGCUAAUACCGGAUAAGUCUUUACGGAGAAAGCUUUAUGCACCAUUGGAUGAGCCUGCACUUGAUUAGUUUGUUGGUGGGGUAAUGGCCUACCAAGACUGUGAUCAAUAGCUGAUUUGAGAGGAUGAUCAGCCACAUUGGGACUGAGACACGGCCCAAACUCCUACGGGAGGCAGCAGUGGGGAAUCUUGCACAAUGGAGGAAACUCUGAUGCAGCGAUGCCGCGUGAGUGAAGAAGGCCCUUGGGUUGUAAAGCUCUUUCGUCGGGGAAGAAAAUGACUGUACCCGAAUAAGAAGGUCCGGCUAACUUCGUGCCAGCAGCCGCGGUAAUACGAAGGGACCUAGCGUAGUUCGGAAUUACUGGGCUUAAAGAGUUCGCAGGUGGUUGAAAAAGUUAGUGGUGAAAUCCCAGAGCUUAACUCUGGAACUGCCAUUAAAACUUUUCAGCUAGAGUAUGAUAGAGGAAAGCAGAAUUUCUAGUGUAGAGGUGAAAUUCGUAGAUAUUAGAAAGAAUACCAAUUGCGAAGGCAGCUUUCUGGAUCAUUACUGACACUGAGGAACGAAAGCAUGGGUAGCGAAGAGGAUUAGAUACCCUCGUAGUCCAUGCCGUAAACGAUGUGUGUUAGACGUUGGAAAUUUAUUUUCAGUGUCGCAGGGAAACCGAUAAACACACCGCCUGGGGAGUACGACCGCAAGGUUAAAACUCAAAUGAAUUGACGGGGACCCGCACAAGUAGUGGAGCAUGUGGUUUAAUUCGAAGAUACGCGCAGAACCUUACCAACACUUGACAUGUUCGUCGCGACUCUAAGAGAUUAGAGUUUUCGGUUCGGCCGGACGAAACACAGGUGCUGCAUGGCUGUCGUCAGCUCGUGUCGUGAGAUGUUGGGUUAAGUCCCGCAACGAGCGCAACCCUCACUUUUAGUUGCCAUCAUUAAGUUGGGCACUCUGAAAGAACUGCCAGUGAUAAGCUGGAGGAAGGUGGGGAUGACGUCAAGUCCUCAUGGCCCUUACGUGUUGGGCUACACACGUGCUACAAUGGUAUCUACAACAGGAAGCAAGACUGCGAAGUUAAGCAAAUCCCUAAAAGAUACCUCAGUUCGGAUUGCACUCUGCAACUCGAGUGCAUGAAGCUGGAAUUACUAGUAAUCGUGGAUCAGCGUGCCACGGUGAAUGCGUUCCCGGGUCU